rnacentral:rRNA from 1 species
GACGAACGCUGGCGGCGUGCUUAACACAUGCAAGUCGAACGGAAAGGCCCUGCUUUUGUGGGGUGCUCGAGUGGCGAACGGGUGAGUAACACGUGAGUAACCUGCCCUUGACUUUGGGAUAACUUCAGGAAACUGGGGCUAAUAUCGGAUAGGAGCUCCUGCUGCAUGGUGGGGGUUGGAAAGUUUCGGCGGUUGGGGAUGGACUCGCGGCUUAUCAGCUUGUUGGUGGGGUAGUGGCUUACCAAGGCUUUGACGGGUAGCCGGCCUGGGAGGGUGACCGGCCACAUUGGGACUGAGAUACGGCCCAGACUCCUACGGGAGGCAGCAGUGGGGAAUAUGGCACAAUGGGUGGAAGCCGGAUGCAGCAACGCCGCGUGCGGGAUGACGGCCUGCGGGUUGUAAACCGCUUUCGCCUGUGACGAAGCGUGAGUGACGGUAAUGGGUAAAGAAGCACCGGCUAACUACGUG